GGGCUUGUGGUCUAGUGGUAUGAUUCUUCCUUAGCACUGUUGAGGUCUAACUCCUCAUCGUGAACUUGGAAGAGGUCCGGGGUUCAAUUCCCCGCGAGUCCA
rnacentral:tRNA from 1 species